GGAGGAUGCGAGCGUUAUCCGGAUUUAUUGGGUUUAAAGGGUGCGUAGGUGGUGAUUUAAGUCAGCGGCGAAAGUUUGUGGCUCAACCAUAAAAUUGCCGUUGAAACUGGGUUACUUGAGUGUGUUUGAGGUAGGCGGAAUGCGUGGUGUAGCGGUGAAAUGCAUAGAUAUCACGCAGAACUCCGAUUGCGAAGGCAGCUUACUAAACCAUAACUGACACUGAAGCACGAAAGCGUGGGGAUCAAACAGGAUUAGAUACCCUGGUAGUCCACGCAGUAAACGAUGAUUACUAGGAGUUUGCGAUACAAUGUAAGCUCUACAGCGAAAGCGUUAAGUAAUCCACCUGGGGAGU
rnacentral:rRNA from 1 species